GUAGGGCUGCUUUUAAAUUUUUUCUUUUUUAUUUAUUUUCUUUUUUUUUUUUUUUUUUUUUUUUUUUUUUUGAGGGAUAAGAAAUUAGUAGAUAAAAUUAAACUCCUCGCGGUGCCAUUAAAUGGAACCCGGGAUGCGAAACGCCGCGGCUUGCGCUCGAAAACUUUGUCGGGGCUGAGCAGCGGCUCGGCGGGGCCGGGAAGCGGGAGCGGAGGGCGGCGGGAGCCGGCUCAGGGCCCAUGUGUCCUUCUUUUCCAGGCUCCAGCCGGAUUCCCCCUGGAAGAUCCCGCGAGCCCGGGAUGGGAAUCUCCGCUCCUGAUUGUCCAAACGCAAUUCUUGUGCGAUGGAGCCGUACGAACCAAGAAUUGUGUCUGGACAUCUGUAGCAAGAGGUUUCACCUCCUCCGGCGGGGCUCCAGGGACGGUUCUCGGGGCACAGGACGGAGUACGGACCUUCCCGGGCCGGGGCACGGCAGGUAACCGCUCCCGGCCGCGUCCCGGGGGUCGGGGCCAGGAUUUCAGGGACACUAAGGAAGCACCAGCGGCGGCUCCGCUCUGCUCGGCGCGGCCGAGGGUGCUCGGUUUUAAUGCGUCAAACACCGGCGGGAUCAUCACCGGGACGGGCAGCCCCGACCGGGCAGCCCCAGGCAGGGACGGCGGGGCCGAGCCUCGGGCACCGGCGCUUUGCCGGGGCCGGUGGGGCCGCAGACCGGCGUGGCGGGCGGGCACUUCGGCCCUGCGGCUCCAUCCCGGUUUAUCCUUCUUAUUUUUAUUUAUUUACCUAUUUUAUCAUUGCGGCUUAAUUCCAUUUAAUCUGCUUCGGCCCCCUGCGCCGGGACACUCUCUGGUGCUCUUGCCGCAGCCCCCGCUGGCCCCGGGCACGCCGAGGCCGCUCCGGCCGUGCGGUGCCUCCGCCGGGCCGAGAAGCGGCCCCGCCGCUCGGGCACCGGUCCGGGCCGCGGGCACGGCCCCCGCCGCCGGGCAGGGCUCGGGCAGCCCCCGGAGCGGAGCAGCCUCCGCGGAACGGCGGCCGGAGCAAGGCUCGCUCGAACAGAGAGGCUUUAUGAAUCCACCAGCCAAACGGCUCGGCCGGGGCUGCCAAGGAAACCAGGAGGAGGAGGGAAGCACUACAAGAUCCGAGCAGAAUUUCACCAAAGAGCCUAUCUAG
rnacentral:lncRNA from 1 species